UGUAGAAAGGAGCCCUGAAUGUCUACA
rnacentral:piRNA from 1 species